rnacentral:tRNA from 1 species
GAGGGUAUAGCUCAGUAGUAGAGAUGCAUGCCUAGCACGCAGGAGGUCUUGGGUUCAAUCCCCAGUACUUUCA